rnacentral:rRNA from 1 species
UUCGCCCUUUUCCGGUUGAUCCCGCCGGACCCCACUGCUAUCGGGAUAGGACUAAGACAUGCAAGUCAAGCGCUUUCUAGCUAAUGUGAGAGCGCGGCGUACAGCUCAGUAACACGUGGCCAACCUGCCCUUGGGACGGGAACACCCCCGGGAAACUGGGGUUAAUUCCCGAUAGGUGAAGAAGUCUGGAAUGACUCUUCGCUCAAAAGACGUUUAUGUCAUGCUCAUAUUCGUCGCCCAGGGAUGGGGCCGCGACCGAUCAGGUUGUUGGUGAGGCAAUGGCUCACCAAGCCUUUUACCGGUGCGGGCCGUGAGAGCGGGAGCCCGGAGAUGGGCACUGAGACAAAGGCCCAGGCCCCACGGGGCGCAGCAGUCGCGAAAAUUUUGCAAUACACGAAAGUGUGACAGAGCUAUCCCGAGUGCCAUCCGCUGAGGAAGGCUUUUACCCAGUAUAAAUAGCUGGGAGAAUAAGGAGAGGGCAAGUCUGGUGUCAGCCGCCGCGGUAAUACCAGCUCUCCGAGUAGUGUGGACGUUUAUUGGGCCUAAAGCAUCCGUAGCUUGCUAGAUAAGUCCUCUGUUAAAUCCACCGAUCCAAUCGU